rnacentral:tRNA from 1 species
GGGGCUGUAGCUCAUUUGGGAGAGCGCGUCGUUCGCAACGACGAGGUAGCGAGUUCGAUCCUCGUCAGCUCCACCA